UACGUAGGGGGCGAGCGUUGUCCGGAUUCAUUGGGCGUAAAGAGCUCGUAGGCGGCUUGGCAAGUCGGAUGUGAAAACUCCAGGCUCAACCUGGAGCCGCCAUUCGAUACUGCCAUGGCUAGAGUCCGGUAGGGGAGUGUGGAAUUCCCGGUGUAGCGGUGAAAUGCGCAGAUAUCGGGAGGAACACCGAUGGCGAAGGCAGCACUCUGGGCCGGCACUGACGCUGAGGAGCGAAAGCGUGGGGAGCGAACAGG
rnacentral:rRNA from 1 species